rnacentral:rRNA from 1 species
AUGAACGCUGGCGGCGUGCCUCAUACAUGCCAGUCGAACGCUUCACUUCGGUGAAGAGUGGCGAACGGGUGAGUAAUACAUAAGUAACCUGGCAUCUACAGGGGGAUAACUGAUGGAAACGUCAGCUAAGACCGCAUAGGUGUAGAGAUCGCAUGAACUCUAUAUGAAAAGUGCUACGGGACUGGUAGAUGAUGGACUUAUGGCGCAUUAGCUUGUUGGUAGGGUAACGGCCUACCAAGGCGACGAUGCGUAGCCGACCUGAGAGGGUGACCGGCCACACUGGGACUGAGACACGGCCCAGACUCCUACGGGAGGCAGCAGUAGGGAAUUUUCGGCAAUGGGGGAAACCCUGACCGAGCAACGCCGCGUGAAGGAAGAAGUAAUUCGUUAUGUAAACUUCUGUCAUAGAGGAAGAACGGUGGAUAUAGGGAAUGAUAUCCAAGUGACGGUACUCUAUAAGAAAGCCACGGCUAACUACGUG